AGCAGCCGCGGUAAUUCCAGCUCCAAUAGCGUAUAUUAAAGUUGUUGCAGUUAAAAAGCUCGUAGUUGAAUUUCGGGGUUAGUAGGUUGGUCAUGCCUCUGGUAUGUACUGGUCUCACUGAUUCCUCCUUCCUGAUGAGCCGUAAUGCCAUUAAUUUGGUGUUGCGGGGAAUUUGGACUGUUACUUUGAAAAAUUAGAGUGUUUAAAGCAAGCUAACGCUUGAAUACAUUAGCAUGGAAUAAUGAAAUAGGACGUUUGAUUCUAUUUUGUUGGUUUCUAGGAUCGACGUAAUGAUUAAUAGGGAUAGUUGGGGGCAUUAGUAUUCAAUUGUCAGAGGUGAAAUUCUUGGAUUUAUUGAAGACUAACUACUGCGAAAGCAUUUGCCAAGGAUGUUUUCAUUAAUCAAGAACGAAAGUUAGGGGAUCGAAGACGAUCAGAUACCGUCGUAGUCUUAACCAUAAACUAUGCCGACUAGGGAUCGGAUGAUGUUAAUUUUUAAUGUACUCAUUCGGCGCCUUAA
rnacentral:rRNA from 1 species